rnacentral:rRNA from 1 species
AUUGAACGCUGGCGGCAGGCCUAACACAUGCAAGUCGAGCGGAUGAAGGGAGCUUGCUCCUGGAUUCAGCGGCGGACGGGGGAGUAAUGCCUAGGAAUCUGCCUGGUAUUGGGGUAUAACGUCCGGAAACGGGCGCUAAUACCGCAUACGUCCUGCGGGUGCAGGUGGGGGGGCUUCGGACCUCACGCUAUCAGAUGAGCCUAGGUCGGAUUAGCUAGUUGGUGGGGUAAAGGCCUACCAAGGCGACGAUCCGUAACUGGUCUGAGAGGAUGAUCAGUCACACUGGAACUGAGACACGGUCCAGACUCCUACGGGAGGCCGCAGUGGGGAAUAUUGGACAAUGGGCGAAAGCAUGAUACAGCCAUGCCGCGUGUGUGAAGAAGGUCUUCGGAUUGUAAAGCACUUUAAGUUGGGAGGAAGGGCAGUAAGUUAAUACCUUGCUGUUUUGACGUUACCAACAGAAUAAGCACCGGCUAACUUCGUG